rnacentral:lncRNA from 1 species
AUGUCCUCCAGGCCGACGCUGAUCCUGGAGACCGAGGGGUCGAGGCGGACGUCGCCGCAGGAGGCAGCGCCAUCCAAACGGCCGGAAGCGCCGAGGGCGAGGCCACCAGUCCGGCAGCCGAGACCGAGACGAGACAGGAACCAGAGACGAAGACAGACGUGGAGACGUCCUCCUUGGACCUCUGCGACGAGACGCAGGUACAGAUGCGGCCGGAGCCGGGCCGCCAGGAACCGAUGCAGGUGCGGCCGAAGCCGAGCCGCCAGGAACCGAUGCAGGUGCGGCCGGAGCCGAGCCCCCAGGAACCGAUGCAGGUGCGGCCGGAGCCGAGCCGCCAGGAACCGAUGCAGGUGCGGCCGGAGCCGAGCCGCCAGGAACCGAUGCAGGUGCGGCCGAAGCCGAGCCGCCAGGAACCGAUGCAGGUGCAGCGGGAGCUGCGACGGGAGCGACCCCCUCCUGGAGGUCCGCCGGGACUGCGACGGGCGCGACCCCCUCCUGGGGGUCCGCCGGGACUGCGACGGGCGCGACCCCCUCCUGGGGGUCCGCCGGGACUGCGACGGGCGCGACCCCCUCCUGGGGGUCCGCCGGGACAGCGACGGGCGCGACCCCCUCCUGGGGGUCCGCCGGGACUGCGACGGGCGCGACCCCCUCCUGGAGGUCCGCCGGGACUGCGACGGGCGCGACCCCCUCCUGGAGGUCCGCCGGGACUGCGACGGGCGCGACCCCCUCCUGGAGGUCCGCCGGGACUGCGACGGGCGCGACCCCCUCCUGGGGGUCCGCCGGGACAGCGACGGGCGCGACCCCCUCCUGGGGGUCCGCCGGGACAGCGACGGGCGCGACCCCCUCCUGGGGGUCCGCCGGGACAGCGGCGGGCGCGACCCCCUCCUGGGGGUCCGCCGGGACUGCGACGGGCGCGACCCCCUCCUGGAGGUCCGCCGGGACUGCGACGGGCGCGACCCCCUCCUGGAGGUCCGCCGGGACUGCGACGGGCGCGACCCCCUCCUGGGGGUCCGCCGGGACAGCGACGGGCGCGACCCCCUCCUGGGGGUCCGCCGGGACUGCGGCGGGCGCGACCCCCUCCUGGGGGUCCGCCGGGACUGCGGCGGGCGCGACCCCCUCCUGGGGGUGCGCGGGGUCUGCAGCUGGCGCGACCCCCUCCUGGGGGUGCGCGGGGUCUGCAGCUGGCGCGACCUCCUCCUGGAGGUGCGCGGGGUCUGCAGCUGGCGCGACCUCCUCCUGGAGGUGCGCGGGGUCUGCAGCUGGCGCGACCUCCUCCUGGAGGUGCGCGGGGUCUGCAGCUGGCGCGACCUCCUCCUGGAGGUGCGCGGGGUCUGCAGCUGGCGCGACCUCCUCCUGGAGGUGCGCGGGGACUGCAGCUGGCGCGACCUCCUCCUGGAGGUGCGCGGGGUCUGCAGCUGGCGCGACCUCCUCCUGGAGGUGCGCGGGGACUGCAGCUGGCGCGACCUCCUCCUGGAGGUGCGCGGGGGACUGCAGCUGGCGCGACCUCCUCCUGGAGGUGCGCGGGGACUGCAGCUGGCGCGACCUCCUCCUGGAGGUGCGCUGCGCGGGGACUGCAGCUGGCGCGACCUGCUCCUGGAGGUGCGCGGGGACUGCAGCUGGCGCGACCUGCUCCUGGAGGUGCGCGGGGACUGCAGCUGGCGCGACCUCCUCCUGGAGGUGCGCCGGGACUGCCACCCCAAGACUGACAGGGACAGGAACGGCAUCUACUUGGCCGACAGGGACAGGAACGGCAUCUACUUGGCCGACAGGGACAGGAACGGCAUCUACUUGGCCGACAGGGACAGGAACGGCAUCUACUUGGCCGACAGGGACAGGAACGGCAUCUACUUGGCCGACAGGGACAGGAACCGGGACUAG